GACGAACGCUGGCGGCGUGCUUAACACAUGCAAGUCGAACGGAAAGGCCCUGCUUGCAGGGUACUCGAGUGGCGAACGGGUGAGUAACACGUGGGUGAUCUGCCCUGCACUUCGGGAUAAGCCUGGGAAACUGGGUCUAAUACCGGAUAGGAGCCAUUUUUAGUGUGAUGGUUGGAAAGUUUUUUCGGUGUAGGAUGAGCUCGCGGCCUAUCAGCUUGCUGGUGGGGUAAUGGCCUACCAAGGCGGCGACGGGUAGCCGGCCUGAGAGGGUGGACGGCCACAUUGGGACUGAGAUACGGCCCAGACUCCUACGGGAGGCAGCAGCGGGGAAUAUUGCACAAUGGGCGCAAGCCUGAUGCAGCGACGCCGCGUGGGGGAUGACGGCCUUCGGGUUGUAAACUCCUUUCGCUAGGGACGAAGCUUUUUGUGACGGUACCUAGAUAAGAAGCACCGGCUAACUACGUG
rnacentral:rRNA from 1 species